UCCGUCAAUUCCUUUCGGGUCAUCGAGACAUCAUAAUAGUUUCAAAAUUUAGGUUCAUAUAUCAUAUAUGAGUGACAAUUCGUAGUAUAGAAUGGCACUCAAGAUCAUAAAAUCAAUGAGGCAUCCCAACACUAGAAACAUAUGGGACAAAAAAUAUCCGCAAUUCCUUUCGGGUCAUCGAGGCAUCAUAAUAGUUACAAAAUUUAGGCUCAUAUAUCAUAUAUGAGUGACAAUUCGUAGUAUAGAAUGGCACUCAAGAUCAUAAGAUCAGAGGCAUACCAACACUUGCAACAUAUGGGACAAAUAAUAUCCAUCAAUUCCUUUCGGGUCAUCGAAGCAUCAUAAUAAUUUCAAAAUUUAGGCUCAUAUAUCAUAUAUGAGUCAAUUCAUAUAAUAGUCAAUUCAUAUAAUACAAUUGCACUCAAGAUCAUAAAAUCAUUAAGGCAUCCCAACACUUGCAACAUAUGGAACAAAUAAUAUCCGUCAAUUCCUUUCGGGUCAUCGAGGCAUCAUAAUAGUUUCAAAAUUUAGGCUUAUAUAUCAUAUAUGAGUGACAAUUCAUAGUAUAGAAUUGCACUCAAGAUCAUAAAAUCAAUGAGGCAUCCCAAACAUAUGGGACAAAUAAUAUCCGCAAUUGAUUUCGGGUCAUCGAGGGAUCAUAAUAGUUUUAAAAUUUAGGUUCAUAUAUCAUAUGAGUGACAAUUCGUAGUAUAGAAUUGCACUCAAGAUCAUAAGAUCAUUGAGGCAUACCAACACUUGCAACAUAUGGGACAAUAAUAUCCGUCAAUUCCUUUCGGGUUAUCGAGGCAUCAUAAUAGUAUCAAAAUUCAGGCACAUAUAUCAUAUAUAUGAGUGACAAUUCGUAGAAUAAAAUUGCACUCAAGAUCAUAAAAUCAUUGAGGCAUCCCAACACUUGCAACAUAUGGGACGAAUAAUAUCCGUCAAUUCCUUUCGGGUCAUCGAGGCAUCAUAAUAGUUUUAAAAUUUAGGCUCAUAUAUCAUAUAUGAGUCACAAUUCAUAGUAUAGAAUUGCACUCAAGAUCAUAAAAUCAUUAAGGCAUCCCAACACUUGCAACAUAUGGAACGAAUAAUAUCAGAUUCCUUUCGGGUCAUCGAGGCAUCAUAAUAGUUUCAAAAUUUAGGUUCAUAUAUCAUAUAUGAGUGACAAUUCAUAGUAUAGAAUUGCACUCAAGAUCAUAAAAUCAUUGAGGCUUACCAACACUUGCAACAUAUGGGACAAAUAAUAUCCGUCAAUUCCUUUCGGGUUAUCGAGGCAUCAUAAUAGUUUCAAAAUUAGGCUCAUAUAUUAUAUAUGAGUGACAAUUCGUAGAAUAAAAUUGCACUCAAGAUCAUAAAAUCAUUGAGGCAUCCCAACACUUGCAACAUAUGGGACAAAUAAUAUCCGUCAAUUCCUUUCGGGUUAUCGAGGCAUCAUAAUAGUUUCAAAAUUUAGGCUCAUAUAUCAUAUAUGAGUAACAAUUCAUAGUAUAGAAUUGCACUCAAGAUCAUAAAAUCAUUGAGGCAUCCCAACACUUGCCAACAUAUGGGACAAAUAAUAUCCGUCAAUUCCUUUCGGGUCAUCGAGGCAUCAUAAUAGUUUUAAAAUUUAGGCUCAUAUAUCAUAUAUGAGUGACAAUUCAUAGUAUAGAACUGCAUUCAAGAUCAUAAAAAUAUUGAGGCAUCCCAACACUUGCCAACAUAUGAGACAAAUAAUAUCCGUCAAUUCCUUUCGGGUCAUCGAUGCAUCAUAAUAGUUUCAAAGUUUAGGCUCAUAUAUCAUAUAUGAGUGACAAUUCAUAGUCUAGAAUUGCACUAAGAUCAGAAAAUCACCGAGGCAUCCCAACAUUUACAAAAUUUUAAGUAGCAAAAAUAAUAUUCAUCAUUUCCUAUCAUUGGUUUUAGGAUAAUAUCAUCCCCUUUUCAAAUUAAGAAAAUUGAUUUCAACUCACAUAGACAAUCACAGUAAUGAAUUCCAUUCAAGUUAUAAAAGAUAUCAUCAAAUUAUGAAUUCUUUAAAGUCCUCAGGCACCCUAAACCGUUUCAAAAUUUAGGCUCAUAUAUUGGGGAAAAAAGAUCUUGCAGCAUUUCAUAAACCCUAACAAUUUAAAUUUUGAUUUACAAAAUUGUACAGGGUUGUUGUUGUUAUAGCAGAAGAUUGAAUGAGAUAAUGGCUAUGCUAGCCUAACAACAAAAUUCUCAACAAGUAACAAUUGUACAGGGGUUAUGAAAAUUCCACGGUAAAAAUGUUCAACAAUUAAAACCUAAACAUCAAGAUAGAGAUAGAAAAGUACCAUUGAAGAAAAAAGUACCACUAAAGGAAAAAGAAACCAGCAACGAGACCAAUGAAACCACCAACACAUCACUGCAUCACCUUCGAAUCGCGAGAAAUUGCGGGUACACACGUUUCCUACCAUUGAAGAAGAAUCGUAAAUUGCGGGUACACAUGUUUCCUACCAUUGAAGAAGAAUCGUAUAAACUUCGAAUGGAAAAAAGAGAGCGUGUCUCCAAUUUAUGAGCUUUCCUUCCUGUGCUUUUGUCAGGUGUAUAAAUGUUCCUAAAAAUCUCUCGAUAUACAACAUUUCAGGAAAUGUGCCUCAAAUUUACAUAGAACUGAAUGCAUAAAAUUAACAAACUUAGGUGACGUACCAUAUGCAUUGUCAGGUGUAUAUCGAGAUUUGAGCUACAUCAAUGUCAGUUCUGCUAAUUUCUAAGCAAUACAAAUCUGCCCACCAGCCACAACCCACAACCAAUCUUGAAAUGCGAAUCUAAAUCACAAAGAAAUUGAGUGUUCAAUCCCAAUUGUGUUCACAAUCAUUCAACUUGGGACUAACCAAAGGAACUAAAGAUAUAAUUGAAAUAAAAUAAUAAGCAAGUUAUACAAUAGUAAAUUCAAGUUAUACAAUAGUAGUUUCUCAUCCAAAUCUUCACAUUUCAAACUUCAAAUUUAAAACGAUCUCUUGGGAUUGAAAGAUGCAUGCUGACAUAAGACACUAAUCAAUAACCAAAUGAACAUGUUAUUGCGAGCACAUAAUAAACUAAAUAUAGGUUCUAAAAGUGGCAUAAAAUAAAUCAUACAAAAGGAGAGUUCCAGCCUAUUGGUUGGCAAUAUCACUACAAAUGCAAAGUAGCACCAAGCACUAUCAAUCUCAAAAUCAUCUCACACAUUCUCAAGCACCAAGUCAAUUUCAAAAACAUCACAAACAAUAAAAAUUCAAAACAUAUAAAAUAGGGCUCAAUUCAUGGGGUACAAUACAUUUUUUUUUGAUAGAGGAAAGAAUAAGCAAAGACUUCUUAAUAAAAAAAGACAAAGCUUUCAUUGAGCAAUUUAUUUGAUUGAUUGUAAGAAUUUUAGGCUUGUUCUUCUACAAAUAUCUUCUUAUGUAAUUUAUAUAUAAUCUCAAUACUGUCAUCAAAAUUUGUAUGAAACCAAAUAUCGGUGAUUAUGGUCUUAUUUUUGGUUCAAUUGAAGAAGCCAUAAGACUGUGUGGUCUUAGUAAACGAUAUUCAUUGACUAAUUAUUCAAGUUUAGUGUAGUUUCAUUUCCCAUUCUUUUUUACUAUAGAAGUAUGUAUCAGAAAAGUAAAGUGCAUUAGAUGGCACCAGGAACAAAGGGCUGAGUUUAACACCGUAUCGAGCGGCUAUUACCCACAUGGCUAUCUGAACAAUGAAAAUAAUACAAACACAAAACAUUUUAAACUUGACAAACCUCAGCUGUUUUAAUGCUUUAUAGUCUAGAAAAAAAUUUAAUGUUUGGUGGAAAACUGAACAUAUAACUUACCUCAGAAACUCCAAGAAUAGAUAAGAAACCACCAAAUAGAGGCACAGCGUUAGCAAGAUAAUCAUCAAGUGUAGCAACAGGUUUAAGGAAGAAUCCACUCAUCAAAGCAACCGUUCCAAAAGUAGUAACAGCAAAUGCAACUGCACUUAAGUAUUGCUCAUAUUUGUUGACUGAAAUUGGAGAUCCAUUUCUGCUUUUGGUUGCACCAUACAAACCUGAAUGUACAAAGCACGCAAUUAACUGAAAUCCUUAAUUGUAUUUUUGUCCUUUAGCUUAAGUAUCGUGUGAUUUUAGUCUUCAUAAUCUUAAUUUUUUAAAUCAAAUCCUCAUACUUUUCAAAUGAAACAGAUUUGUUCUAACAUUAACAUUUCUUACAAUUGCUAAUAAAAAGUAGCCCUAAAUAGAGAACAAACAUAAACCUUAUAAUCUUAUAUCACUCUCCAUUCUAGUUGUUAGAUUUCUUUACAACUACCAAAGGAUUUCCACAAAAAAAAAAAAACUUGAUUCAAUCAAAAUUAGAAAACCAAUAAAUAACAGAGAAAAUUAAAUCUCAGUUUUGCAAUAUCAUAAUACUACUCUAUUGAUUAGUAACUUAAUUGAAUACACAUUUGGGAAAAAAGUUUUUUACUGUUUCUAUAACGAGAUUGCCGGAGAAAUUACCCUGUCGGUGGUGAUAUCAAAAAGACUGGAUCUACGGCGACAGCGAUUGAGAUUACUUCGGCAGAGAAAGUACUUCUGAGCAUGACUUACAUAUAUAUGCUUUCACACAAAUUUGCAAUCGCUACAAAACCAACAUGAACCUGUCAAGAUAAAAUUCUGCAGCAAUGGCAUUAUCGGCACCAAAAACAAUUUAAAUCACUGUUGGUUAUUUCUGUUCAUACUACCACACAUUACCUGAUUUAUACUAAAUAAUGACACUGAUGAACAAUAAAAACCAACAUCAACCAUGAAACCUGAAAAUAUGAAGCAAAUAUAUUCUAAAACAUUUCAAUUAACACAAUUUAACUCAACUCCUCACAAACCAAAUCCAAAUCAAAAUUUAAACAGUUAUGUUAAAUCAAAGCCAAACUUAAAUUAGUGAAUGCCAAUUAUAACAAUCAUAUGUACACAGUGUCGUAGGGCAUCAACUCCUCCGAACUCUCUAGUGUGAAUGCCAAUUAUAACAAUCAUAUGUACACAGUGUCGUAGGGCAUCAACUCCUCCGAACUCUCUAGUGUGAAUGCCAAUUAUAACAAUCACAUGUACACAGUGUCGUAGGGCAUCAACUCCUCCGAACUCUCUAGUACCCACUUGCUUAAUAAUUGUAUGAUGUGGGAUGUUUUGUAUUUGUCGUGCUUUUAAUUUCACUUAACUAUCAAAAAUUAGCAGCAAAUCAUCAAAAUAUUCAAGUUAACAAUAAAAGGCAUUUGAGAAAUAUUUGAAAUGUGUUGUUCUUUUAAGAUUUAAAUCACAGAGUUAAACAACCAAAACAGAAUUGAAGAUAAAAGCAAAAUUCCAGGAAAGAACUCAUUUUCAAGUUUCAGGAAUCAAUUUAGCAUCCACGUUUGGAAUAUUAUGUCUAGCAAAACAACCAAAAGCAAAAUUAAAGAUAAGGGUAUUCUGUUCAACAGAUAUGUUCACAUCUUCCUUACCAAGUCCAGGCAUAUCCAAACGAAGAAGCAGAAAAUCCUCUAUCUCUUUCGCAUCCCAACCACGUCGAACUCCACCGGAUCCAAUUCCACAGUUAGCAGAAUAAUCCAUAAAUUGACAAAAAAAACGUUCAACAAUUAAAACCUACCAAUUGUACAGGGUUUAUGAAAAUUCCACGGUAAAAAUGUACCAAUCGUCAACAGGUACCAAUUGUACAGGGUUUAUGAAAAUUCCACGGUAAAAAUGUUCAACAAUUAAAAACCUAAACAUCAAGAUAGAGAUAGAAAAGUACCAUUGAGGAAAAAAGUACCACUGAAGGAAAAAGAACCCAGCAACGAGACCAAUGAAACCACCAACACAUCACUGCAUCACCUUCGAAUCGCGAGAAAUUGCGGGUACAUUGGGUGGACAACGGUCGGUUACGGACGGCGGCGGAUUGAAAAAUGGAAACCGUAGACUGACCGUGGGUGAGAAAACCUCGUCCAUCUCCGUCCGUCAAUGUCAACGGUUAAAUCGGAUUUCGGUUUCGUCGGAUCAUCGGUUUUACGGGUGGGUUGCAACGGUUUAGACAUGGGGAAUUUGACGCAAAAGACAGCAAAAUCUUUUAAAGAUUCAACCUUUUUCAUAACUAUUCUUCACACAAAAAACAACAUCCUAAAAUUUAAAAAUUUCAUAUCUUUAUAGUUACAUCUUUCAAAGAAGAAAAGAAACCCAACACAAAUAUUUGAUUAAAAACCACAACUAAAGAUAUAGAGAGAUGAAGAACCUUGUAGAUGCCAACAAUAAAGAAGAAGUUAGAGAGAUGAUGAAAUGUGAUCCAAGUAUGAGAGAAGAAAGGAUAAUAAAUUGAGUAAAAUAUCAUAUUUCAGAGAUCAUUCAGUCAGAUUAUUGGUGUUUUAAGAUGUGUUACGGUUUGGAUGAUUUGGGUUUGAAAAGAUGAGAGCGGUUGUUAACUCUAGAGAGAGAAAGGUGAUUGACAAAUGAGAAAAAUUGGCUUUUAUGUCAAUCCUAGUCUGCCAAACACUGUAAAAAAUAAUAAUAAAUCUAUAUCUCGGUCGGAUAUGGGUUUCGAUGGAUUGAUUUCAAUCAUCCGAAACCGAUCCGAAUAACCCACUUAUAUCCGUUUUCAACAACCCGCGUGACCCGUGUAACCCGAACAGACCCACCCAGAUGCAUACGGGCCUUUUGGGUCGGCCGGAUUGGGUCGGUUAUGGAAAUCUUGUCCACCCCUAGGUACACACGUUUCCUACCAUUGAAGAAGAAUCGUAUAAACUUUGAAUGGAAAAAAGAAAGUGUGUCUCCAAUUUAUGAGCUUUCCUUCCCGUGCUUUUGUAUUUUUUGGGCCUCGGCCCACUAGUCAUU
rnacentral:lncRNA from 1 species